UGAGUUUCUCUAAACAGCAUUAUGUGUAGCUCCAUAGUAGACCAGGACAGAUGUAGAUUUUUGUGACUGACACCUCACUUAAGGAAAACACUCACGUACCGUAACCUGUGUCACCGAACUCAAUGGCAAACUUGUCUGACGUGUUGGUGAAGUGACCUUAUGUACCAAGUUUGACCUUGAUACACAAA